rnacentral:rRNA from 1 species
AGUGAACGCUGGCGGUAGGCCUAACACAUGCAAGUCGAACGGCAGCACAGUAAGAGCUUGCUCUUACGGGUGGCGAGUGGCGGACGGGUGAGGAAUACAUCGGAAUCUACUUUUUCGUGGGGGAUAACGUAGGGAAACUUACGCUAAUACCGCAUACGACCUACGGGUGAAAGCAGGGGAUCUUCGGACCUUGCGCGAUUGAAUGAGCCGAUGUCGGAUUAGCUAGUUGGCGGGGUAAAGGCCGACCAAGGCGACGAUCCGUAGCUGGUCUGAGAGGAUGAUCAGCCACACUGGAACUGAGACACGGUCCAGACUCCUACGGGAGGCAGCAGUGGGGAAUAUUGGACAAUGGGCGCAAGCCUGAUCCAGCCAUACUGCGUGGGUGAAGAAGGCCUUCGGGUUGUAAAGCCCUUUUGUUGGGAAAGAAAAGCAGCAGGUUAAUACCCCGCUGUUCUGACGGUACCCAAAGAAUAAGCACCGGCUAACUUCGUG